CCAAUGAAGGAUCUGAAGGAAGCUGGAGUCGGGUGAGCUACCUAAAUGAAAGUGAAUCUUUGUAAGGCAGCUGCAAAGGGUAAGGUGCCGGAUACCACCGAAGCCUAAUAACUCUUCGUAAUUUGCAGAUGUAUUGAAGAUAGGUGAGCCACCAAAGAUAUCGAU
rfam:Coxiella sp. RIFCSPHIGHO2_12_FTLL_44_14 rifcsphigho2_12_scaffold_6548, whole genome shotgun sequence.